rnacentral:rRNA from 1 species
UACGUAGGGUGCAAGCGUUGUCCGGAAUUAUUGGGCGUAAAGAGCUCGUAGGCGGUCUGUCGCGUCGGCUGUGAAAACCCGGAGCUCAACUCCGGGCCUGCAGUCGAUACGGGCAAACUGGAGUGUUGCAGGGGAGACUGGAAUUCCUGGUGUAGCGGUGAAAUGCGCAGAUAUCAGGAGGAGCACCGGUGGCGAAGGCGGGUCUCUGGGCAACAACUGACGCUGAGGAGCGAAAGCGUGGGGAGCGAACAGG